rnacentral:rRNA from 1 species
AUUGAACGCUGGCGGCAGGCCUAACACAUGCAAGUCGAACGAGCGGCGGACGGGUGAGUAAUGUCUGGGAAACUGCCUGAUGGAGGGGGAUAAAUACUGGAAACGGUAGCUAAUACCGCAUACCAUCGGAUGUGCCCAGAUGGGAUUAGCGAGUAGGUGGGGUAAAGUCUAACCUAGGCGACGAUCCCUAGCUGGUGUGAGAGGAUGACCAGCCACAAUGGGACUGAGACACGGUCCAGACUCCUACGGGAGGCAGCAGUGGGGAAUAUUGCACAAUGGGCGCAAGCCUGAUGCAGCCAUGCCGCGUGUAUGAAGAAGGCCCUCCGGUUGUAAAGUACUUUCCGCGGGGAGGCGUUACCCGCAGAAUAAGCACCGGCUAACUCCGUGCCAGCAGCCGCGGUAAUUC